CGCCGUUUACCUUCCAGCCGGAGUGGUACCUAUUUAUCUACUUGCACUCUCAUGUGCUUUUGAACUGCUAGGUUGGCAAGAGCAGGGACCGAGCAACGGGAGCUCACCCUGUCGUGGGGAUUCGAACCGCCGACCUUCUGAUCGGCAAGUCCUAGGCUCUGUGGUUUAACCCACAGCGCCACCCGUGUCCUUACGUCUCGCUAAAGGGGCAGCCGAACAUUUCCUUUAGAUCAAAAGUACACCUUCUUGGGAAAGCUUUUAAAAUAGCAUGCCCCCGCAACAAUAUUUUAAAUGAAAAGGUUCUUGCCCACACCAGUUUUUGCAUACAUCAAGAAAGCCUUAAGUGCUUUACAAGUAUUUAAAUUAACAUAAUAGAUCACCUCCUCAAAAUGAAUAUAAAAACUAACACUUCACACAUCAUGACAGAAGAAGCAGCCCUUUGCAUCUGUGUCAGAAUGACAUAUGGCACUUGAGAGUGGCCAGUUUUAAAUACCAGUGGCAAAAAAAUAACAGUUAUAUACAUCUAAAUCCUGAUAUAAAUAAAGCUUUGAACAUAACACACCUAAAAAAAGUCCUCAACCACAGAAGAGUAUAAAAAUAAUAAAAUACUAAAUGUUAUAUUCACAAUGAGAUGCACAUAACAUUUUGAAACCAGCCCAUUGUUCUUAACAUGAAGCCAUGGUCUGCUUAUCUUAGCUGUAGUUUGUUAACCCACCUCAGUCAACUAUCUAUGGUUUGCCUGUGGCCACCAAACCAGAAUAUGAAACUAUGGUUUGAAGUUGGCUUACAAACUUUGGCUUCCGCUAACCAUAGUUUCUUGCUACGCCUACUAUCCUGGCGUAAUCCUGGAUUAUUUUGGUGCCCCUCCCCAGAUAGGA